CCUUCCUCACCUACUUUCUGGCUGCUCCUCCUUCCUGAGUAUUUCUAGAUCCCCUCCCCUUUAAAACGCCAGCUCCUGGAGUCACGUUAUUUCUUCCUCGCUUAGAAAGGCAUUUCUAGUCCCUCAUGCUGGGUUAGCAAGACAGAAAAAGGCUCAGCGAACAUCCCAAGAGGGUUCAAACACCAGGAGGCAAGCGAGGAGACCCAGGCGUAGAUGAAUGCUUUCAGGGGUCCAUAUUUUUUGCCUUACAAUCCCACCUCAUGCUGCCUGGAGCCCACGCUCCCGGGAAGUCAGGCCAGGGCUUCCUGCUUCUCCCACACUGGCGCCCACCAGAUUUCAAGGCCGAGAAAGAAGAGUGCAUUUUCUGACCCUGUGCAAAACACACGCUGCAGAUUUCUGUAGCCCAAGUCAGGUACUCAUGUGGGAUGGUAUCUCUAGUUGCUGACAGCACAGUAAAAAGAUAUUGAGCCUCUACCAUUAUCCUUCAUAGGCAAAUCAAGCUUUCAGGUAACAAAAGAUUCACAGACUAAGAAAGCAGCUGCAAACAGAAGUCUAGCAUGACCAGCAGCCUCAUACCAGAAUGCAGAGGGAAGCCACCAACCUUUGUUCCCAGCUGCUACAUCCCCAGUACCGCCUCCGAAGAUCAGUGGCAACAUUUCAAUGUCACGCUCAGCGUUAUCUCUCUGAGCAGUGAUAACUGCAAUGGCUGAAAUAAAAAGCAGAAGGGGGGAGAACCACCAAAGAGAGCCAAAAGUUUCCUCUGUCUCUCCCCAGCUAUAACAAAAGGCUUGCAUGCAAGCAAAGCGAGUGGAACAAUGCUCAGUAAGAGAGUUUUAUUGACCUGGUUAAAGCAGCAUCUGUUCCCACCUUUCAGAGUGGACUGACAUAAUUUGGAGAUCCAUGAGAAACCGGACAGUUACACUGGGAUCCCAACCAAGACCUUUCUAUCCCUGCCACUGGGAUUAUCAAGAUAAACUAGUUAUCAAGCUGAGACUAUAUGCUAGCGUAGGAACCUCAAUAGGUAGCAGCAAAGUGGGACAUGUUAGCAUUGCUCCCAAAAGGACAGGCUCACAGCUUGCCAGAGGCAAAAGCCCUUCUAGAUACAACUCAC